rnacentral:rRNA from 1 species
AUACGGAGGAUGCAAGCGUUAUCCGGAUUUAUUGGGUUUAAAGGGUGCGUAGGCGGUUUGCUAAGCGGGAGGUGAAAUGCCGGCGCUCAACGUCGGAAGUGCCUCCCGAACUGGUGGACUUGAAUGACUCUGCCGUGGGAGGAAUGUGUAGUGUAGCGGUGAAAUGCUUAGAGAUUACACAGAACACCGAUUGCGAAGGCAUCUCACGAAGGGUUGAUUGACGCUGAGGCACGAAAGCGUGGGGAUCAAACAGGAUUAGAUACCCUGGUAGUCCACGCAGUAAACGAUGAGUACUAAGUGUCGGGUAACCGGUGCUGAAGUUAACACAUUAAGUACUCCGCCUGAGUAGUACGGUCGCAAGGCUGAAACUCAAAUGAAUUGACGGGG